rnacentral:rRNA from 1 species
UAGGGAAUCUUCCGCAAUGGACGAAAGUCUGACGGAGCAACGCCGCGUGAGCGAAGAAGGCCUUCGGGUCGUAAAGCUCUGUUGUUAGGGAAGAACAAGUAUCGGAGUAACUGCCGGUACCUUGACGGUACCUAACCAGAAAGCCACGGCUAACUACGUGCCAGCAGCCGCGGUAAUACGUAGGUGGCAAGCGUUGUCCGGAAUUAUUGGGCGUAAAGCGCGCGCAGGCGGUCCUUUAAGUCUGAUGUGAAAGCCCACGGCUCAACCGUGGAGGGUCAUUGGAAACUGGGGGACUUGAGUGCAGAAGAGGAGAGUGGAAUUCCACGUGUAGCGGUGAAAUGCGUAGAGAUGUGGAGGAACACCAGUGGCGAAGGCGACUCUCUGGUCUGUAACUGACGCUGAGGCGCGAAAGCGUGGGGAGCAAACAGGAUUAGAUACCCUGGUAGUCCACGCCGUAAACGAUGAGUGCCAAGUGUUAGAGGGUUUCCGCCUUUAGUGCUGCAG